rnacentral:rRNA from 1 species
GACGAACGCUGGCGGCGUGCCUAAUACAUGCAAGUUGAGCGCUGAAGGUUGGUACUUGUACCAACUGGAUGAGCAGCGAACGGGUGAGUAACGCGUGGGGAAUCUGCCUUUGAGCGGGGGACAACAUUUGGAAACGAAUGCUAAUACCGCAUAAAAACUUUAAACACAAGUUUUAAGUUUGAAAGAUGCAAUUGCAUCACUCAAAGAUGAUCCCGCGUUGUAUUAGCUAGUUGGUGAGGUAAAGGCUCACCAAGGCGAUGAUACAUAGCCGACCUGAGAGGGUGAUCGGCCGAAUUGGGACUGAGACACGGCCCAAACUCCUACGGGAGGCAGCAGUAGGGAAUCUUCGGCAAUGGACGAAAGUCUGACCGAGCAACGCCGCGUGAGUGAAGAAGGUUUUCGGAUCGUAAAACUCUGUUGGUAGAGAAGAACGUUGGUGAGAGUGGAAAGCUCAUCAAGUGACGGUAACUACCCAGAAAGGGACGGCUAACUACGUG